AGGGAUGGAACCGUGACAAUUUCGGCUGGCUAUAACAUCGGGACGCACACCUCAGCUCUGGAAAGUUAUCCAAACUCGGUCAUUUAGAGGAAGUAAAAGUCGUAACAAGGUCUCCGUUGGUGAACCAGCGGAGGGAUCAUUACUGAGUUAUCUAAACUCCAACCCUAUGUGAACUUACCGCCGUUGCCUCGGCGGGCCGCGUUCGCCCUGUAGUUUACUACCUGGCGGCGCGCUACAGGCCCGCCGGUGGACUGCUAAACUCUGUUAUAUAUACGUAUCUCUGAAUGCUUCAACUUAAUAAGUUAAAACUUUCAACAACGGAUCUCUUGGUUCUGGCAUCGAUGAAGAACGCAGCGAAAUGCGAUAAGUAAUGUGAAUUGCAGAAUUCAGUGAAUCAUCGAAUCUUUGAACGCACAUUGCGCCCAUUAGUAUUCUAGUGGGCAUGCCUGUUCGAGCGUCAUUUCAACCCUUAAGCCCCUGUUGCUUAGCGUUGGGAAUCUAGGUCUCCAGGGCCUAGUUCCCCAAAGUCAUCGGCGGAGUCGGAGCGUACUCUCAGCGUAGUAAUACCAUUCUCGCUUUUGCAGUAGCCCCGGCGCCUUGCCGUAAAACCCCUAUAUCUUUAGUGGUUGACCUCGAAUCAGGUAGGAAUACCCGCUGAACUUAAGCAUAUCAAUAAGCGGAGGAAAAGAAACCAACAGGGAUUGCCCUAGUAACGGCGAGUGAAGCGGCAACAGCUCAAAUUUGAAAUCUGGCCCUAGCGGUCCGAGUUGUAAUUUGUAGAGGAUGCUUUUGGUGAGGUGCCUUCCGAGUUCCCUGGAACGGGACGCCGGAGAGGGUGAGAGCCCCGUACGGUUGGACGCCAAACCUCUGUAUAGCUCCUUCGACGAGUCGAGUAGUUUGGGAAUGCUGCUCUAAAUGGGGAGGUAAAUUUCUUCUAAAGCUAAAUACCGGCCAGAGACCGAUAGCGCACAAGUAGAGUGAUCGAAAGAUGAAAAGCACUUUUGAAAAGAGGGUUAAAUAAGCACGUGAAAAUUGUUGAAAGGGAAACCGUUUGCGACCAGACUUUUUCCAGGGGGGAUAAUCCGGGGGUUCUCCGCCGGGGGCACUCCGGCCUGGGUAGAAGGCCAAGCAUCGGUUUUUCCUUA
rnacentral:rRNA from 1 species